rnacentral:rRNA from 1 species
UACGUAGGAGACGAGCGUUGUCCGGAGUUACUGGGCGUAAAGGGCGCGUAGGCGGCACUGUUAGUCAGGCGUGAAAGUCCUGGGCUCAACCUGGGAACUGCGCUUGAUACGGCAGAGCUAGAGGAUGGAAGAGGCUCGCGGAAUUCCCAGUGUAGAGGUGAAAUUCGUAGAUAUUGGGAAGAACACCGGUGGCGAAGGCGGCGAGCUGGUCCAUUACUGACGCUGAGGCGCGACAGCGUGGGGAGCAAACAGG